UACGGAGGGGGGCUAGCGUUGUUCGGAAUUACUGGGCGUAAAGCGCACGUAGGCGGCUUUGUAAGUUAGAGGUGAAAGCCCGGGGCUCAACUCCGGAAUUGCCUUUAAGACUGCAUCGCUAGAAUUGUGGAGAGGUAAGUGGAAUUCCGAGUGUAGAGGUGAAAUUCGUAGAUAUUCGCAAGAACACCAGUGGCGAAGGCGGCUCACUGGCCCGAUACUGACGCUGAGGUGCGAAAGCAUGGGGAGCGAACAGG
rnacentral:rRNA from 1 species